AUUGAACGCUGGCGGCAUGCUUUACACAUGCAAGUCGAACGGUAACAGGUUGAGCUGACGAGUGGCGAACGGGUGAGUAAUGCAUCGGAACGUGCCCGGUCGUGGGGGAUAACGCAGCGAAAGCUGCGCUAAUACCGCAUACGAUCUGAGGAUGGAAGCGGGGGACCGUAAGGCCUCGCGCGAUCGGAGCGGCCGAUGUCAGAUUAGGUAGUUGGUGGGGUAAAGGCUCACCAAGCCAACGAUCUGUAGCUGGUCUGAGAGGACGACCAGCCACACUGGGACUGAGACACGGCCCAGACUCCUACGGGAGGCAGCAGUGGGGAAUUUUGGACAAUGGGCGAAAGCCUGAUCCAGCAAUGCCGCGUGCAGGAAGAAGGCCUUCGGGUUGUAAACUGCUUUUGUACGGAGCGAAAAGGUCUCCUCUAAUACAGGGGGCUCAUGACGGUACCGUAAGAAUAAGCACCGGCUAACUACGUGCCAGCCGCCGCGGUAA
rnacentral:rRNA from 1 species